UAGCUUGCUACCUGACCUAGCGGCGGACGGGUGAGUAAUGCUUAGGAAUCUGCCUAUUAGUGGGGGACAACAUUCCGAAAGGAAUGCUAAUACCGCAUACGCCCUACGGGGGAAAGCAGGGGAUCUUCGGACCUUGCGCUAAUAGAUGAGCCUAAGUCAGAUUAGCUAGUUGGUGGGGUAAAGGCCUACCAAGGCGACGAUCUGUAGCGGGUCUGAGAGGAUGAUCCGCCACACUGGGACUGAGACACGGCCCAGACUCCUACGGGAGGCAGCAGUGGGGAAUAUUGGACAAUGGGCGAAAGCCUGAUCCAGCCAUGCCGCGUGUGUGAAGAAGGCCUUUUGGUUGUAAAGCACUUUAAGCGAGGAGGAGGCUACUUGGAUUAAUACUCUAGGAUAGUGGACGUUACUCGCAGAAUAAGCACCGGCUAACUCUGUGCCAGCAGCCGCGGUAAUACAGAGGGUGCGAGCGUUAAUCGGAUUUACUGGGCGUAAAGCGUGCGUAGGCGGCUUCUUAAGUCGGAUGUGAAAUCCCUGAGCUUAACUUAGGAAUUGCAUUCGAUACUGGGAAGCUAGAGUAUGGGAGAGGAUGGUAGAAUUCCAGGUGUAGCGGUGAAAUGCGUAGAGAUCUGGAGGAAUACCGAUGGCGAAGGCAGCCAUCUGGCCUAAUACUGACGCUGAGGUACGAAAGCAUGGGGAGCAAACAGGAUUAGAUACCCUGGUAGUCCAUGCCGUAAACGAUGUCUACUAGCCGUUGGGGCCUUUGAGGCUUUAGUGGCGCAGCUAACGCGAUAAGUAGACCGCCUGGGGAGUACGGUCGCAAGACUAAAACUCAAAUGAAUUGACGGGGGCCCGCACAAGCGGUGGAGCAUGUGGUUUAAUUCGAUGCAACGCGAAGAACCUUACCUGGUCUUGACAUAGCAAGAACUUUCCAGAGAUGGAUUGGUGCCUUCGGGAACUUACAUACAGGUGCUGCAUGGCUGUCGUCAGCUCGUGUCGUGAGAUGUUGGGUUAAGUCCCGCAACGAGCGCAACCCUUUUCCUUAUUUGCCAGCGAGUAAUGUCGGGAACUUUAAGGAUACUGCCAGUGACAAACUGGAGGAAGGCGGGGACGACGUCAAGUCAUCAUGGCCCUUACGACCAGGGCUACACACGUGCUACAAUGGUCGGUACAAAGGGUUGCUACCUAGCGAUAGGAUGCUAAUCUCAAAAAGCCGAUCGUAGUCCGGAUUGGAGUCUGCAACUCGACUCCAUGAAGUCG
rnacentral:rRNA from 1 species